rnacentral:lncRNA from 1 species
UAUUUUGAGAGACAGACAGUGCAAGUCGGGAAGGGGCAGGGAGAGAGGAGCGAGGAUCCUAAGCAGGCUCUACACCGGCAGAGCAGAGCCCAACUCCAGACGGGGGCUUGAGCUCUCAAAAUUGCAAAGUCUGGGCCUGAGCUGAAACCAAGAGUCAGAUGCUUAACCAACUGAGCCGCCCAGGCACCCCUCACUGCUGACUUUAUAUGUGAGCCAUCCUUGCUUCUCUUCUUCCAAAGUAUCUUCUCUCGAGCUUCACUUUGAAGACCACCCAGAAACUCCAUCUGGUCCAAAUAGAACCACCACCCUGCUUCUUCCCAAGAACAUAGCAGAAUCAGAAACAAGAUCUAAGAACAG